ACUCCUACGGGAGGCAGCAGUGAGGAAUAUUGGACAAUGGGUGGAAGCCUGAUCCAGCCAUCCCGCGUGCAGGAAGACGGCCCUAUGGGUUGUAAACUGCUUUUAUCUGGGGAUAAACCUACUUACGUGUAAGUAGCUGAAGGUACCAGAAGAAUAAGCACCGGCUAACUCCGUGCCAGCAGCCGCGGUAAUACGGAGGGUGCAAGCGUUAUCCGGAUUUAUUGGGUUUAAAGGGUCCGUAGGCGGACUGAUAAGUCAGUGGUGAAAUCCGACAGCUUAACUGUCGAACUGCCAUUGAUACUGUUAGUCUUGAGUAAGGUUGAAGUGGCUGGAAUAAGUAGUGUAGCGGUGAAAUGCAUAGAUAUUACUUAGAACACCAAUUGCGAAGGCAGGUCACUAAGUCUUAACUGACGCUGAUGGACGAAAGCGUGGGGAGCGAACAGGAUUAGAAACCCCGGUAGUCCCAUG
rnacentral:rRNA from 1 species